UCCUAACCGUGCAAAGGUAGCAUAAUCACUUGCCCAUUAAUUGUGGGCUAGAAUGAAAGGAUAAACGAARUAAAUACUGUCUMUAUAAGCCGCUUAAAAAUUACCCUCUAACCGAAGAGUGUUAGAUAGCGUCGAAGGACAAGAAGACCCUAUAGAACUUAAUUUAAAUAAAUAUAAAAAAAUUUACUAAAAUUCGGUUGGGGCGACCAGGGAAUUACCCAUCAUCCCUAAGCAAAAGAUAAAUAUAUCAAAAUACUGACCCUUCUACAAGAUCAUUAAAACAAGCUACCUUAGGGAUAACAGGCUAAUCUCACUAGAGAGUCCUUAUCAAUAGUGGGGAUUGGCACCUCGAUGUUGGCUUAGGGAAUCUCUAUAACGCAAAAGUUAUAUAAAGAUGGUUUGUUCAACCAAUAACACCCUACAUGAGCUGAGUUCAGACCGGCGUAAGCCAGGUUAGUUUCUAUCCUCGAUCACUAUAUCUAUUUAUAGUACGAAAGGACCUAAUUAGAGUAACAUUUACACACAGGGAAUAAAUAUAAACCAUUCUAAAUAAAAUAAUUCAUAAACUAUGAGUAAGUUGGCAGAAUAGUGCCACCGACUUAGGAUCGGUUCAUGGGUAAGCCCACCUACUAUGCAACUUAGUUCAUUUAGAAUAACCAACCUGCACUUGGUAGGAGAGGUAUCUCAGUAGCGGUUUGAUGUUUCGGAAAUACUGGACCUUGAACGUCCACUUAA
rnacentral:rRNA from 1 species